UUAAGUUAUUAAGGGCGCACGGUGGAUGCCUUGGCACUAGAAGCCGAUGAAGGACGUUACUAACGACGAUAUGCUUUGGGGAGCUGUAAGUAAGCUUUGAUCCAGAGAUUUCCGAAUGGGGAAACCCAGCAUGAGUUAUGUCAUGUUAUCGAUAUGUGAAUACAUAGCAUAUNNNNNNNNNNNNNNNNNNNNNNNNNNNNNNNNNNNNNNNNNNNNAGAAGGCACACCCGGAGAACUGAAACAUCUUAGUACCCGGAGGAAGAGAAAGAAAAUUCGAUUCCCUUAGUAGCGGCGAGCGAAACGGGAAGAGCCCAAACCAACAAGCUUGCUUGUUGGGGUUGUAGGACACUCUAUACGGAGUUACAAAGGACGACAUUAGACGAAUCAUCUGGAAAGAUGAAUCAAAGAAGGUAAUAAUCCUGUAGUCGAAAAUGUUGUCUCUCUUGAGUGGAUCCUGAGUACGACGGAGCACGUGAAAUUCCGUCGGAAUCUGGGAGGACCAUCUCCUAAGGCUAAAUACUCUCUAGUGACCGAUAGUGAACCAGUACCGUGAGGGAAAGGUGAAAAGCACCCCGGAAGGGGAGUGAAAUAGAACCUGAAACCGUGUGCUUACAAGUAGUCAGAGCCCGUUAAUGGGUGAUGGCGUGCCUUUUGUAGAAUGAACCGGCGAGUUACGAUUUGAUGCAAGGUUAAGCAGUAAAUGUGGAGCCGUAGCGAAAGCGAGUCUGAAUAGGGCGUUUAGUAUUUGGUCGUAGACCCGAAACCAGGUGAUCUACCCUUGGUCAGGUUGAAGUUCAGGUAACACUGAAUGGAGGACCGAACCGACUUACGUUGAAAAGUGAGCGGAUGAACUGAGGGUAGCGGAGAAAUUCCAAUCGAACCUGGAGAUAGCUGGUUCUCUCCGAAAUAGCUUUAGGGCUAGCCUCAAGUGAUGAUUAUUGGAGGUAGAGCACUGUUUGGACGAGGGGCCCCUCUCGGGUUACCGAAUUCAGACAAACUCCGAAUGCCAAUUAAUUUAACUUGGGAGUCAGAACAUGGGUGAUAAGGUCCGUGUUCGAAAGGGAAACAGCCCAGACCACCAGCUAAGGUCCCAAAAUAUAUGUUAAGUGGAAAAGGAUGUGGCGUUGCCCAGACAACUAGGAUGUUGGCUUAGAAGCAGCCAUCAUUUAAAGAGUGCGUAAUAGCUCACUAGUCGAGUGACACUGCGCCGAAAAUGUACCGGGGCUAAACAUAUUACCGAAGCUGUGGAUUGUCCUUUGGACAAUGGUAGGAGAGCGUUCUAAGGGCGUUGAAGCAUGAUCGUAAGGACAUGUGGAGCGCUUAGAAGUGAGAAUGCCGGUGUGAGUAGCGAAAGACGGGUGAGAAUCCCGUCCACCGAUUGACUAAGGUUUCCAGAGGAAGGCUCGUCCGCUCUGGGUUAGUCGGGUCCUAAGCUGAGGCCGACAGGCGUAGGCGAUGGAUAACAGGUUGAUAUUCCUGUACCACCUAUAAUCGUUUUAAUCGAUGGGGGGACGCAGUAGGAUAGGCGAAGCGUGCGAUUGGAUUGCACGUCUAAGCAGUAAGGCUGAGUAUUAGGCAAAUCCGGUACUCGUUAAGGCUGAGCUGUGAUGGGGAGAAGACAUUGNNNNNNNNNNNNNNNNNGUCUUCGAGUCGUUGAUUUCACACUGCCGAGAAAAGCCUCUAGAUAGAAAAUAGGUGCCCGUACCGCAAACCGACACAGGUAGUCAAGAUGAGAAUUCUAAGGUGAGCGAGCGAACUCUCGUUAAGGAACUCGGCAAAAUGACCCCGUAACUUCGGGAGAAGGGGUGCUCUUUAGGGUUAACGCCCAGAAGAGCCGCAGUGAAUAGGCCCAAGCGACUGUUUAUCAAAAACACAGGUCUCUGCUAAACCGUAAGGUGAUGUAUAGGGGCUGACGCCUGCCCGGUGCUGGAAGGUUAAGAGGAGUGGUUAGCUUCUGCGAAGCUACGAAUCGAAGCCCCAGUAAACGGCGGCCGUAACUAUAACGGUCCUAAGGUAGCGAAAUUCCUUGUCGGGUAAGUUCCGACCCGCACGAAAGGCGUAACGAUUUGGGCACUGUCUCAACGAGAGACUCGGUGAAAUCAUAGUACCUGUGAAGAUGCAGGUUACCCGCGACAGGACGGAAAGACCCCGUGGAGCUUUACUGUAGCCUGAUAUUGAAAUUCGGCACAGCUUGUACAGGAUAGGUAGGAGCCUUUGAAACGUGAGCGCUAGCUUACGUGGAGGCGCUGGUGGGAUACUACCCUAGCUGUGUUGGCUUUCUAACCCGCACCACUUAUCGUGGUGGGAGACAGUGUCAGGCGGGCAGUUUGACUGGGGCGGUCGCCUCCUAAAAGGUAACGGAGGCGCUCAAAGGUUCCCUCAGAAUGGUUGGAAAUCAUUCAUAGAGUGUAAAGGCAUAAGGGAGCUUGACUGCGAGACCUACAAGUCGAGCAGGGUCGAAAGACGGACUUAGUGAUCCGGUGGUUCCGCAUGGAAGGGCCAUCGCUCAACGGAUAAAAGCUACCCCGGGGAUAACAGGCUUAUCUCCCCCAAGAGUUCACAUCGACGGGGAGGUUUGGCACCUCGAUGUCGGCUCAUCGCAUCCUGGGGCUGUAGUCGGUCCCAAGGGUUGGGCUGUUCGCCCAUUAAAGCGGUACGCGAGCUGGGUUCAGAACGUCGUGAGACAGUUCGGUCCCUAUCCGUCGUGGGCGUAGGAAAUUUGAGAGGAGCUGUCCUUAGUACGAGAGGACCGGGAUGGACAUACCUCUGGUGUACCAGUUGUCGUGCCAACGGCAUAGCUGGGUAGCUAUGUGUGGACGGGAUAAGUGCUGAAAGCAUCUAAGCAUGAAGCCCCCCUCAAGAUGAGAUUUCCCAACUUCGGUUAUAAGAUCCCUCAAAGAUGAUGAGGUUAAUAGGUUCGAGGUGGAAGCAUGGUGACAUGUGGAGCUGACGAAUACUAAUCGAUCGAAGACUUAAUCAA
rnacentral:rRNA from 1 species